rnacentral:rRNA from 1 species
UAAUACAGAGGUCUCAAGCGUUGUUCGGAUUCAUUGGGCGUAAAGGGUGCGUAGGUGGCGCGCUAAGUCAGGUGUGAAAUUUCGGAGCUUAACUCCGAAACUGCAUUUGAUACUGGCGUGCUUGAGGACUGGAGAGGAGACUGGAAUUCAUGGUGUAGCAGUGAAAUGCGUAGAGAUCAUGAGGAAGACCAGUGGCGAAGGCGGGUCUCUGGACAGUUCCUGACACUGAGGCACGAAGGCCAGGGGAGCAAACGGGAUUAGAUACCCCGGUAGUCCUGGCAGUAAACGGUGCACGUUUGGUGUGGGAGGAUUCGACCCCUUCUGCGCCGGAGCUAACGCGUUAAACGUGCCGCCUGGGGAGUACGGUCGCAAGAUU